GUCUUGCUGCGGCUCUCGUCGGAGGCAACCAUAUCCCGGGGACCUUAAUUCAUCUCGACGGGAGCUGUCCCUGCUUGGGUUCGUGGACCCCGGCACACGGCGCCCACCUGGUAAGCCAGGUCCGAGGGGAUUGAACCGCCCUCCACGGCUCUUCGCGGCGCCGCC
rnacentral:other from 1 species